GAUGAACGCUGGCGGCGUGCCUAACACAUGCAAGUCGAGCGAACAGACGCGGCGCUUGCUCCUUUCUCGUAAGCGGCGCACGGGUGAGUAACACGUGGAUAACCUACUUAUAAGACUGGGAUAACUUCGAGAAACGGGCGCUAAUACCGGAUAACAUGUUGAUCCGCAUGGUUCAAUAGUGAAAGACGGUGUUGCUGUCACUUAUCGAUGGAUCCGGGCCGCUUUGGCUGGUUGGUAAGGUAACGGCUUACCAAGGCAACGAUGCGUAGCCGACCUGAGAGGGUGAUAGGCCACACUGGAACGGAGACACGGUCCAGACUCCUACGGGAGGCAGCAGUAGGGAAUCGGCCGCAAUGGGCGAAAGCCUGACGGAGCAACGCGGCGUGAGUGACGAAGGUCUUCGGAGCGUAAAACUCUGUUAUUAGGGAAGAACAAAUGUGUAAGUAACUAUGCACGUCUUGACGGUACCUAAUCAGAAAGCCACGGCUAACUACGUG
rnacentral:rRNA from 1 species